UNUGACUUGAGUGCAGAAGGGGAGAGUGGAAUUCCAUGUGUAGCGGUGAAAUGCGUAGAUAUAUGGAGGAACACCAGUGGCGAAAGCGGCUCUCUGGUCUGUCACUGACGCUGAGGCUCGAAAGCGUGGGUAGCGAACAGGAUUAGAUACCCUGGUAGUCCACGCCGUAAACGAUGAGUGCUAGGUGUUAGGCCCUUUCCGGGGCUUAGUGCCGGAGCUAACGCAAUAAGCACUCCGCCUGGGGAGUACGACCGCAAGGUUGAAACUCAAAGGAAUUGACGGGGGCCCGCACAAGCGGUGGAGCAUGUGGUUUAAUUCGAAGCAACGCGAAGAACCUUACCAGGUCUUGACAUCCCGAUGCUAUUCUUAGAGAUAGGAAGUUACUUCGGUACAUCGGAGACAGGUGGUGCAUGGUUGUCGUCAGCUCGUGUCGUGAGAUGUUGGGUUAAGUCCCGCAACGAGCGCAACCCUUAUUGUUAGUUGCCAUCAUUAAGUUGGGCACUCUAGCGAGACUGCCGGUAAUAAACCGGAGGAAGGUGAGGAUGACGUCAAAUCAUCAUGCCCCUUAUGACCUGGGCUACACACGUGCUACAAUGGUCGGUACAACGAGUUGCGAGCCGGUGACGGCAAGCUAAUCUCUGAAAGCCGAUCUCAGUUCGGAUUGGAGGCUGCAACUCGCCUCCAUGAAGUCGGAAUCGCUAGUAAUCGCGGAUCAGCACGCCGCGGUGAAUACGUUCCCGGGCCUUGUACACACCGCCCGUCACACCACGAGAGUUUGUAACACCCGAAGUCGGUGAGGUAACCUUUUAGGGGCCA
rnacentral:rRNA from 1 species